rnacentral:rRNA from 1 species
GAUGAACGCUGGCGGCGUGCCUAAUACAUGCAAGUCGAGCGAACGGACGAGAAGCUUGCUUCUCUGAUGUUAGCGGCGGACGGGUGAGUAACACGUGGAUAACCUACCUAUAAGACUGGGAUAACUUCGGGAAACCGGAGCUAAUACCGGAUAAUAUUUUGAACCGCAUGGUUCAAAAGUGAAAGACGGUCUUGCUGUCACUUAUAGAUGGAUCCGCGCUGCAUUAGCUAGUUGGUAAGGUAACGGCCUACCAAGGCAACGAUGCAUAGCCGACCUGAGAGGGUGAUCGGCCACACUGGAACUGAGACACGGUCUAGACUCCUACGGGAGGCAGCAGUAGGGAAUCUUCCGCAAUGGGCGAAAGCCUGACGGAGCAACGCCGCGUGAGUGAUGAAGGUCUUCGGAUCGUAAAACUCUGUUAUUAGGGAAGAACAUAUGUGUAAGUAACUGUGCACAUCUUGACGGUACCUAAUCAGAAAGCCACGGCUAACUACGUG